rnacentral:rRNA from 1 species
AAUCUUACAUUAUGGACGUACGUCAGAUGGAGCACCCCCGCGUGAGUGUAUAAUGUUUUCGGAGCGUACGGCUCGGUUGUAAGGGAAGAACAAGUACAGGAGGAACUGUAUUUACCUUGACUGUACCAUUCUCGAAAGCCUCAGCUAACUACGACUCAGCAGCCGCGGUAAUACGUAGGUGGCAGGCGUUGUCCGGAAUUAUUGGGCGUAAAGCGCGCGCAGGCGGUCCUUUAAGUCUGAUGGGAAAGCCCACGGCUCAACCGUGGAGGGUAAUUGGAAAAUGGAGGCAUUGAGUACAGAAGAGGAAAGCGGAAUUCCACGUGUAGCGGUGAAAUGCGUAGAGAUGUGGAGGAACACCAGUGGCGAAGGCGGCUUUCUGGUCUGUAACUGACGCUGAGGCGCGAAAGCGAGGGGGGCAAAC